GCCUACCUGAUGAGCCCCAGAAAAGGGCGAAACCGGUCGUGGGC
rnacentral:hammerhead_ribozyme from 1 species